rnacentral:lncRNA from 1 species
GUUUUAAUAAAUGGAUUGAUAGAUAUGUAGGUCGCGACAAUUUUUAUUAAUUUAGCAUAUAUAUAUUGUGAUGUUCGAUUUAGAUAAAUAGGUAAAUCAAGUAAUUAAGAUACAUAGUUUAAAGAGUUAAUAAAAAACUAGGAAAAAAUAGAUUUUCUAGUGUAACAUGUAAUUUGGUUAAUGAAUAUAGUCGAUGCCCUGCUGUGAUAUCCAUGGUGCUUAAUGCUUGAUUUUAAGUGUUUCAUCCUUUUUAGUGUAGAUUAUCUAAAUUAUACUCGUAUACUCGUGCUCAUACAUGUGCAUCGUGCAUCUCAUGAGGUACGUUAAUUAAUCGAGCGAUGCGGAAGACAAGCCAAGUCGACCCCAAGCGCGGACUACUCCGCAUGGUGGUGUUGAUGGACGAACCCACCUAAUCAAGUGUUAGGACAAGGAUGAUCGUCAAGUGGACGUCGUCUAACAAACACUAACGUAGUGUUUAUUCCAGGCAAUCCCCGGUGCAUACAAUCCCUUCCUUGUAUUUUUAAAUUAUUUUUACACACUUUAAGUCUAGUGAAUGUGCAUUAAGUUUAUAGGAGUUGCUUGAAAACCCUUUGAUGCAUUGGCUACCUUGAUAUCCAUCCCUUUUAUAGAUACUUCUAGUGAAGUAUAAAAAAAAUAAUUGUCGGGGACCAUAAUUAGGGGUACCCUGAAGGCUCCUAAUUCUCAGCUGGUAACCCCCAUCAGCAUAUAGCUGCAAAGGCCUGAUGGGUACGAUUAAGUCAGGGUUCAGUCCAUUCGAGGGACUCGAUCACGCCUCGCCCGUGCCUAGCCUCGGACAAGGGCAGCCGACCCCGGAGGAUCUCCGUCUCGCCCGAGGCCCCCCCUCCAGCGGCGAACAUAUUUCCGGCUCGCCCGAGGCCCUGUCUUCGCCAAGAAGCAACCCUGACCAAAUCGCCGCACCGACCGACCGAAUCGCAGGAGCAUUUAAUGCAAAGGUGGCCUGACACCUUUAUCCUGACGCGCGCCCCCCAGCCGACAGAGCCGAAGUGACCGCCGUCACUUUGCCGCUCCACUGGCCGGUCUGACAGAAAGACAGCGCCGCCUGCGCCGCUCCGACUGCGGUGCCACUUGACACAGUGAGGCUGACAGGCAGUCAGGCCCGACCGCAGGCACCAUAGGAAGCUCCGCUUCGCCCGACCCAGGGCUCGGACUCGGGCUAAGCCCCGGAAGACGGCGAACUCCGCUCCGCCCGACCCAGGGCUCGGACUCGGGCUAAGCCCCGGAAGACGGCGAACUCCGCUCCGCCCGACCCAGGGCUCGGACUCGGGCUAAGCCCCGGAAGACGGCGAACUCCGCUCCGCCCGACCCAGGGCUCGGACUCGGGCUAAGCCCCGGAAGACGGCGAACUCCGCUCCACCCGAUCUAGGGCUCGGACUCAAGCUCAGCCCCGGAAGACGACGAACUCCGCUCCGCCCGACCCAGGGCUCGGACUCCGCCCUGGCCUCAGCCGACGGUCUCCGCCUCGCCCGAACCAGGGGCUCGGACUCGACCUCGACCACGGAAGACAGACUCGACCUCAGCUUCGGAGGAGCUUCCACAUCGCCCAACCUAGGGCGCAGACCAGCCACGUCAACAGGAGGCGCCAUCAUCACCCUACCCCGAGCUGACUCGGGCCACGGGGAACAAGACCGGCGUCCCAUUUGGCUCGCUCCGCUAGAUAGGCAAUGAUGGCGCCCCGCGUACUCUGUGACGACGGCGGCUCUCAGCCCCCUUACGGAAGCAAUAGGACGUCAGCAAGGACUCAACAGCUCCAACAGCUGUCCCUCCACCAGGCUCCAGCACUCCUCCGACGACCACGACAUCACACCAGCUGGGUGCCAAAAUCUCUCCGGCUGCCACGACGGCAUGUACUUAGGGCGCUAGCUCUCCUCCGCUAGACACGUAGCACUCUGCUAUACCCCCCAUUGUACACCUGGAUCCUCUCCUUACGCCUAUAAAAGGAAGGACCAGGGCCCUCUUAGAGAGGGUUGGCCGCGCGGGGACGAGGACGAGAACAGGCGCUCGCUUGGAGCCGCUCGCUCCCUCUCCCGCGUGGACGCUUGUAACCCCCUACUGCAAGCGCACCCGACCUGGGCGCGGGACGAACACAAAGGCCGCGGGAUUUCCACCUCUCUCACGCCUGUCUCCGACCACCUCACUUCCCCCCUUCGCGCUCGGCCUCGCGUCGACCCAUCUGGGCUGGGGCACGCGACGACAUUCACUCGUCGGCUUAGGGACCCCCCGGUCUCGAAACGCCGACAGUUGGCACGCCAGGUAGGGGCCUGCUGCGUGUUGACGAACAGCUUCCCGUCAAAGCUCCAGAUGGGCAGUCUCCAGCAACCUCUCCGACCCGGGGCGGUGCUCCGUUUCGGGAGCCUUGAGUUCAUGUCCCUCGACGGCGGCUACGACAUGAUACUCCUUCCACUGCCGGACGACAGCGACAAUGGCGGCCGACAGCCCGCCCGCCGGCGGCGGAAUCGACGACGUCUUCCCCGCGUGGUGGAAGAACAACCAUCGAGCUCGCCCCGCCCUCUUCCCCGCCGACGAAUGGGAAGGCGGGGCAACCAAGGCCGAGUAGGGGGCGACGCCUCGUCGAUUGUCGAGCGAGUCGAUAGCGCCGACACCUCAACGCGGGGCGCAUCGGGCAUCGACCUCGUGCUUGAGACGAAGACGAGCACUAUCUCCCCGCGACACACCAAUCCCGAGCAAGCGGACGACGCCAGCACGCUCGCGAAAGGCUUACUGGACGUCACCCUCGGACCUGAGACGACGAUGCAGUCAGUCCCCGACGUGACUUCAUCACCGUCCGUCGACCAAGAGGUACCGACGGAUUCCCAUCCCACGUCUUUCAGAUUUAGCCUCGACCCGCCUAGCGGCUUCGCUUUGGCGGGCGCUCUCGUUGAGGCGAGUCCAAACCCUCUGGGGUUUCGUAUGCGGUCACCUUGGGACCGGCUGACAGACGUCUCGACCUACGGGCCCUCUGGGUCCGAGGAAGACGACGAGCCCAACUUCUGUUGGGACUUCUCCGGACUUGGCAACCCCAGUACCAUGCGGGACUUCCUGACCGCAUGCGACUACUGCCUUUCCGAUUGUUCCGACGGUGGCCGUAGCCUCGGCGACGAGGGCUGCGGCCCAAGCCGCGAAUGUUUCCACGUCGAUCUAGGGGGUCCCUCCGAAGGCAACCAUCUCGGCAUGUCGGAGGAUGGUGAUCUCCCUAGGCCGGUGCCUCGCGUUGACAUCCCACGGGAGCUAGCUGUGGUCCCCGUUCAGGCGGGGGGCCAUGACCCACAGCUCGAGCAAAUCCGCGGGGUGCAGGCCAGGCUCGACGAGGAAGCAGGAACGCUUGAGCCGAUCCGCCGGGACGUCGGGCAGGCAUGGGUGGCCCAACCUCCAGCCGGAGAAAUACGUCAUCUACCCCAGGGCUUUCAGCACCGCGUCGCCGACGACGUCAGGGUCUGGCCGCCACCCGCAUCUAGUGGGGUCGGCCAGAACCUGGCUGCAGCAGCAAUGCUCCUCCGCGCGAUGCCGGAGCCAUCAACCACCGAGGGGCGGCGAAUCGAGGGAGAGCUCAAGAAUCUCCUGGAAGGCGCCGCGGUCCGACGGGCCGAGAGCUCCGCCUCCCGAAGGCAGGGAUACCCCUCGGAACCUCAUGCCGCAACUUCCCGAUUCGUGCGGGAAGCCUCGGUCUACACCGAGCGCACGCGCAACACAGCGCCUGCGGCCCCGGGUCGCCUCGGCAACGAGCACCAUCACCACGACCGUUGGGCCCACCUCGACGAGAGGGUGCGCCGAGGCUACCACCCCAGGCGUGGGGGACGCUACGACAGCGGAGAGGAUCAGAGCCCCUCGCCCGAACCACCCGGUCCGCAGGCCUUCAGCCGGGCCAUACGACGGGCGCCAUUCCCGACCCGGUUCCGACCCCCGACUACUAUCACAAAGUACUCGGGGGAGACGAGACCGGAACUGUGGCUCGCGGACUACCGUCUGGCCUGCCAACUGGGUGGAACGGACGAUGACAACCUCAUCAUCCGUAACUUCCCCCUGUUUCUCUCCGACACCGCCCACGCCUGGUUGGAGCACCUGCCUCUGGGGCAGAUCUCCAACUGGGACGACCUAGUCCAAGCUUUCGCCGGCAAUUUCCAGGGCACGUACGUGCGCCCCGGGAAUUCCUGGGACCUCCGAAGCUGCCGACAGCAGCUGGGAGAGUCUCUCCGGGACUACAUCCGGCGAUUCUCGAAGCAGCGCACCGAGCUGCCCAACAUCACCGACUCGGAUGUCAUCGGCGCGUUCCUCGCUGGCACCACCUGCCGCGACCUGGUGAGCAAGUUGGGUCGCAAGACCCCCACCAGGGCGAGCGAGCUGAUGGACAUCGCCACCAAGUUCGCCUCCGGCCAGGAGGCGGUCGAGGCUAUCUUCCGGAAGGACAAGCAGCCCCAGGGCCGCCCAUCGGAAGAUGCCCCCGAGGCGUCAACUCAGCGCGGCGCCAAGAAGAAGGGCAAGAAGAAGUCGCAAGCGAAACGCGACGCCGCCGACGCGGACCUUGUCGCUGUCGUCGAGUACAAUAACCCUCGGAAACCCCCCGGAGGUGCCAACCUCUUCGACAAGAUGCUCAAGGAGUCGUGCCCCUAUCACCAGGGGCCCGUCAAGCACACCCUUGAGGAGUGCGUCGUGCUUCGGCGCCACUUCCACAGGGCCGGGCCACCCGCGGAGGGUGGGAGGGCCCACGAUGAUGAUAAGAAGGAAGAUCACCAAGCAGGAGAGUUCCCCGAGGUCCGCGACUGCUUCAUGAUCUACGGUGGGCAAGCGGCGAAUGCCUCGGCUCGGCACCGCAAGCAAGAGCGCCGGGAGGUCUGUUCGGUAAAGGUGGCGGCGCCAGUCUACCUAGACUGGUCCGACAGGCCCAUCACCUUCGACCAAGCCGACCACCCCGACCAUGUGCCGAGCCCGGGGAAAUACCCGCUCGUCGUCGACCCCAUCAUCGGCGACGUCAGGCUCACCAAGGUCCUCAUGGACGGAGACAGCAGUCUCAACAUCAUCUACGCCGAGACCCUCGGGCUCCUGGGUGCCGAUCUGUCCUCCGUCCGGGCAGGCGCUGCGCCCUUCCAUGGGAUCAUUCCCGGGAAGCGCGUCCAGCUCCUCAGACAACUCGACCUUCCCGUCUGCUUCGGAACACCCUCCAACUUCCGAAGGGAGACCCUGACGUUCGAGGUGGUCGGGUUCCGAGGAACCUACCACGCGGUACUGGGAAGACCAUGCUACGCGAAGUUCAUGGUCGUCCCCAACUACACCUACCUGAAGCUCAAGAUGCCGGGCCCCAACGGGGUCAUCACCGUCGGCCCCACGUACAAACACGCAUUCGAAUGCGACGUGGAGUGCAUGGAGUACGCCGAGGCCCUCGCCGAGUCCGAGGCCCUCAUCGCCGACCUGGAGAGCCUCUCUAAGGAGGUGCCAGACGUAAAGCGUCAUGCCGGCAACUUUGAGCCAGCGGAGACGGUUAAGCCCGUCCCCCUCGACCUCAGCGGCGACACCUCCAAGCAGAUCCGGAUCGGCUCCGGGCUCGAUCCCAAAUAGGAAGCAGUGCUCGUCGACUUUCUCCGCGCGAACGCCGACGUCUUCGCGUGGAGUCCCUCGGACAUGCCCGGCAUACCGAGGGAUGUCGCCGAGCACUCGCUGGACAUCCGAGCCGGAGCCUGACCCGUCAAGCAGCCUCUGCGCCGAUUCGACGAGGAGAAGCGCAGAGCCAUAGGCGAGGAGAUCCACAAGCUAAUGGCGGCAGGGUUCAUCAAAGAGGUAUUCCAUCUCGAAUGGCUUGCCAACCCUGUGCUUGUGAGAAAGAAAGGGGGGAAAUGACGGAUGUGUGUAGACUACAGUGGUCUAAACAGGGCAUGUCCGAAGGUUCCCUACCCUCUGCCUCGCAUCGAUCAAAUCGUGGAUUCCACUGCUGGGUGCGAAACCCUGUCUUUCCUCGAUGCCUACUCAGGGUAUCACCAAAUCAGGAUGAAAGAGUCCGACCAACUCGUGACUCCUUUCAUCACACCCUUUGGCAUGUGCUGCUAUGUCACCAUGCCGUUCGGCUUGAGGAAUGCGGGCGCGACGUACCAGCGGUGCAUGAACCAUGUGUUCGGCGAACACAUUGGCCGCACGGUCGAGGCCUACGUCGAUGACAUCGCAGUUAAGAUGAGGAAAGCCUCCGACCUCCUUUCCGACCUUAAAGUGACAUCCCGAUGUCUCAAGGCGAAAGGCGUCAAGCUCAAUCCCGAAAAGUGUGUCUUCGGGAUGCCCCGAGGCAUGCUCUUGGGGCUCAUUGUCUCCAAGCGGGGCAUCGAAGCCAACCCGGAGAAGAUCGCAGCCAUCAUGCAGCGCCCCGAGCCCUUGAUUGAAGACACCCGGGGGCUACACGCACCUCUGGGAAGGGCCGCUUGUCAUCGCCAGAGCUCUGAAGCCCGGGACAAACGAACUGGCCGACGGUCAAGGCGAAGUCUACACCAACACUUCGAACGUCUAACAGCUACGUUGCUUCUACCCUUAAGAUGCUUUCGAGUUGUCCCCUUACCUUGCCCCCGUGCAAGUUUUAGUCGUCAAGGAAGGGUCAGCCCUGCCUCUGCAGAACCCGACCCUCCCUCGGGGGCUAAAAAGGGGGGAACCCCUCUGCGUCAAAAUUUUCAAUCGAAAAGACCUUUGCGUUCCCCCGGCUAUGUCAGAAGCAGGACCCCAAGGAGCGAACGCGGGUGCAUGUAAGUGGCAAGGCCGACUGAGCCGAGGGACUCCUACGCCUCCGUGUUACGGACACCUCACUCGUCACCCGCCACGAAAAGUGACCCCUACUUGGGGAAUCCACCCUGCUACUGACAGGCGGGGCCGGACACGCAAAAUGAAAGGGAAAGGAGUACGACUUCGUGCAACGGUAACAAAGUGUUCAGGCCCCAGCGGCCGCAGAAAGACACACGCGCAUCCAACAGAAACUGCUCCGACAGAGUUAGGCGUCGCCCCGGGAAGGAGCCGCGCCUUCGGCUUCGUCCCCGACCUCGGCAAAGUCCAUCCCGGCUUCGGACGACGACGCAGGUGGGAGGAUCUCUGCCUCAAAGGUGGACGCCAGCACUGCGCUCGGACCCGCGGCGGCCGCAUCAAGCCUCUGGACUUCUGCCAGGGCGGCUUCAUCUUUGUCAGGAAGGCAAUACCCCUCGCUGACCCGCUCCAGGUCCACAACGUAGUGGGAAGCGAGCACGGCGAAGGCCCGCCUGACGCCGUGGUGUAGCGCCUCGCGGAGUCUGCCGCGCACAUGAUCGCCCAAGACCUGCAGGCGACUUUGAGGGGAGCUUCCUGAGGGGACGUCGCCGGAGCCAAGGACCCGACAAAAGUCCGAGACGGCCUCGGACAUGGCCACGUGGUCGGCCUCCCUCUGCUCGGCCGCCCCGGCAAGCGCCUCGGCAAGCGCCUUGGCGGACUCAUCAAGGGCGGACUCGAGCUCUGCGAACAGCCAGAAGAAAGAUCUCAAACACAAGCGAAGGAAACAAGCAGAAACAAAAACCGAAGAUGGCCAAGGCGUACCUCCGGCUCGGGCACGCUGCUCCGAGGCUGCGACCUGGGCUACGGCUAGGUCGGCUGCAAGGGCUUCAGCCCGGCUUUCAGCCUCGGCAGCCCGGCCCCGAGAUUGGUCCCGCUCAUUGACGAUCCGGUCGAACUCCGACUGCUGUCGUUGCACUUCUGCGCGCGCCGCAGCCGCCUCCGCGCGUGCCGUUGCCGCCUCGGCUCUCAGAUCGGUGCAGAGCAACCGAAGGUCCGCCGCCUCGGCACCCUGCUGAGAGAGGCGUGCAGUAGCCCCGGCGAGCGAGGUCCUCAGGGAUCGCAGCGAGCCCCAGACGUCGACCUCGCGGCGGAUGAACGACGACUUGGCGGCGCUCAGAUCCGUCAGAUCCUGAAGGAAGGAAGCGAGGCGUCACGAGAGACGCCUUGGUCACAAAAGAGAAAAGGUAUGCCUGAAACCGUUACCUGGAGGAUUUUUGGGACGUCCCUGCAGAAAACCUCCAGCGACGACCGGAGCGACCCCACCGUUGCUUCGGCACACUCGCGGAGCUCGUCCCAGGACUGGUCCUCCCGUUCAUCGUCGAGAACGAAGACGGGAUCCGAGGCCUCACGGGUCCGGAACCGGAGCAACUGGCGCCGACCCUCGGAGCUCCGCCGCACAGCGACAAGGCUGCCGCCCGGCGGGACGGGUCGCGUCUCCACGCCCCCCUCCUCCGAGGCACCAAGCGCCGACGCCUCAGCCGUCUCUGCGUCGGCAGCGACCGGUCGCUCCCCGACUGGGACGGCGGCGGUUUCAGUAGCGACAGGUGCCAGCACCGUCGGCACGUCCGGUGGGGCCGGGGCCACGUCCGCAUCAGCCGCCUCCCCUAGCACGAUGGCCGCCUCGGCAGAAGAGCCGGCCUCGGGAACUCGCUCCACGGCGACUGGCGCCACCUGAGCUCCCUGCUGUGGAGCACCUUGCAAAAAGGUCAGCUGAACGGCAAGGCCCGGAGCGGCGCCGGCCGCGCAAGCUGACGCUGUCUUAAGGGCCUUUCGGGGAGCCAGAUCGGUCAGGCCAUGGCUUCGCUUGCUGAGGGGAAAAGAAAAAUCACGGCCGAGGCAUACGAAUGAAAAGCCAGGACAAAGACGUUCCAAGAUACUUACCCGCUCCGGGCCAUGAUCAACCGUGCCUGGGGGGAGGUCUCUCGGAUCUCGACCCCCGAAGGCGCCGCCGAGGUCUGCUCCGCCGGCAGCUUCGGCACCACCCUUACUUUGGGCGCUUUGAACGCCCGGGGCGCGGACUGCCCAGGCACUGCCACCGCGACCUGAGGGUCGCUCUCCCGCGGUGCCGGCGUGGGCGACGGCUCUCGGGGAGCAGACGCCUCGACCUGGCUCCUCGGGGCCGCCUCAACUCUCCCAGCCGAGAGGUCAAGUACCCUCUCGGAUUGCCCCCUCUCCUCGGGCCAGGACCCCGGCGUCCCGACUCCGGGGACUGACGGCAUCAGCCCGCUCGGGGGCUGGCCUGACGGCUCCUGGCCUAACCUCAAGCCAGGGCUGAGGCCAAGGCGGGCUGCCAUGUCGUCUUCCUCGUCAUCAUCUUCAUCAUCGUCGUCGUCAUCAGGCGUUUCCGGCGACGGCUCCCUCGGGAGCCCCUCCCUCUCCUGCCGACGACGAAGCUUUUCCAAGGCGUCUCGAGCCCGCAUCCGCUCGCGGGCCCGGGCCUUCUCCGCGUCCUUCUUUUUCUUCUUCUCCUCCGCAGCGACCCGCCGCGCUGCUUGGUCCACCGCAUCCUGCGGGACCCGUGGCAGGGAAGGCUUGUGCCACCCCACCUCCUGAAGACGGAGGGAAAUCCCAACCAUAAGAACCAGGAGCAACCCGAUGCAAGAGGAAGGAAGGAGCGGACACUCACCAGAGUCACGCACCCUUGGUCGGGGCGCAUCGAAGGCUGGGAGAAGGCGCUGAGGUCCGGUUUCCCCAACGCGACGGCCACCCGCCCAUGGAGGACGUCGAAGGGAAGAGGAUCCGAGGACAUCCGCGAGCCCUCCAAAUCAGCCUCCGGUGUCAUCUCCCAAAGCGGCAACCGACGCUCCGCCAAGGGAAGCACCCUCCGGCGGUGGAUGGCGGCAAUCACUCCCGCGGCGGUGAGACCCCCUUUCUGCAACGCCUCCAAGGCCUUGAGAAGGGGCUCCAGGUUCUUCUAUCUUUCGUGCGGGGUCCCGUGGCGCCAAGCAUCGGCGGCGACGGUGACUACUCGCUAGGAGAACGGCGGGAGCAACUCGCCGUCAUUCUGGAGGUAGAACCACCGGCGCUGCCACCCUUUGUUCGAGGACGCAAGGAUGGCGGGAAUAUACAGUGACGCCCGCGACUGCCUCAGCUGGAGGAUGCAGCCGCCGGCCCGCACUGCCGCGCGGACCCUUCUCUCCCCGUCGGCGAAGCGAAAAGCUCCGCGAAAAAGAGAUGGGUCCACAAGUCCCAGUGGGGGGCGAUCCCCAAGAACCCAUCGCACACCGCUACGAAGAUGGCGGCCUGUGAGAUGGAGUUGGGGCUGAGGUUGUGCAACUCCACCCCGUAAUGGUGUAGGAUCGCCCGCAUAAAGCGGCUCGCCGGCACCCCGAAUCCCUGCUCGUGGAAGGAGACGAAGCUCACGAUGUACCCCAGUGGUGGGGACGAAGCGGCUCCACUCACGGGGGGAAUCCAUUCCGGCCGCCUCUCAUCAGAGAGAGGGCGAAGUAAACCCUCAGCAACAAGAUCCUCCAGAUCGCCCAUCGUCACUGUGGAGAAAGGCCAUGGGUCGCGCGGCGACAUGAUGGUCACCCGGUCGGCCAUCACCUAGCAGAGGGGGUGGCGGCACAAAGGACAGGGUGGGCAGUUUCCUUUUCUCUAGCUAAGUCUCUCGGGUCGCGAAAACCUAAGAGGGAGACAGGAAGCAGAGCAAAGAACCAUCGCCAGACCCUCCCCCGAGUAUAUAAAGACCAAAGCGAGACCGUUUCAACGCUCCGCCCGGACCGGCCGCGGGAUUCAAAAACACGAAGCAAAACAGCCGUUCCUCGAACGGCUCGCGACUCGCGCGCGCGCAACGGCCGCCCCGCAAACCACACGCCCCGUCGCAUUAACUCCGCGGCGGGACAGGCGGCGCCUCUAGCAGGAGAAGCGGGCGACGCUUCGCCUUCGCCAUAAUGACUGCGUCAGAAAAGGUACGCCGUGUCGAUUCGAUUUCGUAUCCUUUUCCUUUUUUCCUCUUUCUCUCUCUUGCAACAGGGACCGAGAAAGGGGGAUACCCCGAAAAGGAUCCUUCCCCGUGAAGGAACCAGGCUCCGAGCCUCCCUACUGAUCAGAGGUUCGAAGGCUGGCCCCUCGGAAGGGUUCAACAGCCGCCUCAGAGCGCGUGGGCUCCACACCCACUACUGGUCAGAGGUUCGAAGGCCGGCCCCUCGGAAGGGUUCAACGGCCGCCUCAGGCUACUCGGGCUCCGCGCCCACUACUGAUCAGGGGUUCGAAGGCUGGCCCCCGAAGGGUUCACAGCCGCCUCAGACACAGAGCGAGGGAUGACCAUGGGUACGUUCGAUACAUAACCAAGGCUCGGGCUGCGCUCCCGAGGUACCCUAGGGCAUUUCCGAGACCAGCGGGAACGAUCUUGUAACGGAAUCCCAUCGGAGGGAGGCAUCGAGCCCUCGGACCCCGUCGCCAGGGGACCGGACCCGCAGGUACUUUUGGGCGCGCCUCUGGGCCCCUAGCCGACCCCUAACGAACGGGGCACGGACGUCCACUCGGAUUACCCGCCUGCAGCUCACCGGAGACACCAUGUUCGGCGCCCACCGAGGGCAACAUGGCGCUUCCCCCCUCCUCCUUGCGGAAAGGCGACGCAAGGGCGUAUAUAAGAAAGUCGAGUCUGUCCCUGAUCGCCCUCUCGCCCUGUGCAGAGGCUCGGGGGCUGCUCUCGCAAACCCAGCUCCGGCCACACCGUUGACAGCGUCAACAUACCAGCCCAAGAACUUGGGACCCGACUGUACACCCGGGCUACGGCCAGCUCGCAUGAGGGAACGACCAGACCAGCCGAAGCAUUGCGCGAGGCAUUAAGACCUCGGAGGAGUCAAACCACUCCUCCGAGGCCUCGGGGGCUACACCCGGCGAGUGCGCUCGCGCGCUCCCGCUGGCACAAAACACAACCGAGAAAGGCUGGUCCCCUUGCAAAAAAGUGCGACGAAAGCCUCUAAGCGAGUGCUAACACUCCCUUCGAGGCUCGGGGGCUACUGUCGGGGACCAUAAUUAGGGGUACCCUCAAGGCUCCUAAUUCUCAGCUGGUAACCCCCAUCAGCAUAAAGCUGCAAAGGCCUGAUGGGUACGAUUAAGUCAGGGAUCAGUCCAUUCGAGGGACUCGAUCACGCCUCGCCCGAGCCUAGCCUCGGACAAGGGCAGCCGACCCCGAAGGAUCUCCGUCUCGCCCGAGGCCCCCCCUCCAGCGGCGAACAUAUUUCCGGCUCGCCCGAGGCCCUGUCUUCGCCAAGAAGCAACCCUGACCAAAUCGCCGCACCGACCGACCGAAUCGCAGGAGCAUUUAAUGCAAAGGUGGCCUGACACCUUUAUCCUGACGCGCGCCCCCCAGCCGACAGAGCCGAAGUGACCGCCGUCACUUCGCCGCUCCACUGGCCGGUCUGACAGAAAGACAGCGCCGCCUGCGCCGCUCCGACUGCGGUGCCACUUGACACAGUGAGGCUGACAGGCAGUCAGGCCCGGCCACAGGAACCAUAGGAAGCUCCGCUUCGCCCGACUCAGGGCUCGGACUCGGGCUAAGCCCCGGAAGACGGCGAACUCCGCUCCGCCCAACCCAGGGCUCGGACUCGGGCUAAGCCCCGGAAGACGGCGAACUCCGCUCCGCCUGACCCAGGGCUCGGACUCGGGCUAAGCCCCGGAAGACAGCGAACUCCGCUCCGCCCGACCCAGGGCUCGGACUCGGGCUAAGCCCCGGAAGACGGCGAACUCCGCUCCGCCCGACCCAGGGCUCGAACUCGGGCUAAGCCCCGGAAGACGGCGAACUCCGCUCCGCCCGACCCAGGGCUCGGACUCGGGCUAAGCCCCAGAAGACGGCAAACUCCGCUCCACCCGAUCCAGGGCUCGGACUCGAGCUCAGCCCCGGAAGACGACGAACUCCGCUCCGCCCGACCCAGGGCUCGGACUUGUGCUCAGCCCCAGAAGACGACGAACUCUGCUCCGACUGACCCCAGGGCUCGGACUCCGCCCUGGCCUCAGCCGACGGUCUCCGCCUCGCCCGAACCAGGGGGCUCGGACUCGACCUCGGCCACGGAAGACAGACUCAACCUCGGCUUCGGAGGAGCUUCCACAUCGCCCAACCUAGGGCGCAGACCAGCCACGUCAACAGGAGGCGCCAUCAUCACCCUACCCCGAGCUGACUCGGGCCACGGGGAACAAGACCGGCGUCCCAUCUGGCUCGCUCCGCCAGAUAGGCAAUGAUGGCGCCCUGCGUACUCUAUGACGACGGCGGCUCUCAGCCCCCUUACGGAAGCAAGAGGACGUCAGCAAGGACUCAACAGCUCCGACAGCUGUCCCUCCACCAGGCUCCAACACUCCUCCGACGGCCACGACAUCACACCAGCUGGGUGCCAAAAUCUCUCCGGCUGUCACGACGACAUGUACUUAGGGCGCUAGCUCUCCUCCGCUAGACACGUAGCAGUCUGCUAUACCCCCCAUUGUACACCUGGAUCCUCUCCUUACGCCUAUAAAAGGAAGGACCAGGGCCCUCUUAGAGAGGGUUGGCCGCGCGGGGACGAGGACGAGAACAGGCGCUCGCUUGGAGCCGCUCGCUCCCUCUCCCGCAUGGACGCUUGUAACCCCCUACUGCAAGCGCACCCGACCUGGGUGCGGGACGAACACGAGGCCACGGGAUUUCCACCUCUCUCACGCCUGUCUCCGGCCACCUCACUUCCCCCUUCGCGCUCGGCAUCGCGUCGACCCAUCUGGGCUGGGGCACUCGGCGACAUUCACUCGUCGGCUUAGGGACCCCCCGGUCUCGAAACGCCGACAAUAAUUUACAAAAAAUGCUUAGCCUUGCUUAUAAGCAGAUAGAGUUUGUCCUUUGCACUUAUGCCUAGCUCAGGUUUAUCCUGAGGAAGGAUGAUUUCUACCUGCAAGAAUAUUUUCAUUGGGAGCAUGGUGGGAUCUUACUGCAAAGUUCCCUAUAAUGCUCUUUUCAUCCUGGGGAGCACAAACACUCCUAAGGAUGGAAGUACUUAAAUCGGGACUUGGGCUAGGAACAGGUGAUGCUCCGCCCAGGUUAAUUAAGGAUUGGAUGCGUAUGUAGGCCUGUUGAUCAAGGACUAUCUUAACUAGCCACAUGCCCUGAAAAUGGGACAGGGUAAGCUUGAACCCGGCUAUUCCAUACGUGAAAAGACAACCGCGCACUGGGCGUGGGAGAUGGUGGGAGUAGCGUGUACCCUCCUGGCUAGAGGCUGGAUGGAGGAGUACUGUGCUCCCGGGUAGCGCGGACCGGUUCACGUUGUGGAGGAUCUGUGGGAACGGUUGACAUAUGCAAGGGUUAAGUGCUACAUAUGUCGUGUGGUUAGAAAUCCUCAGCUGAGUAAAUCGAUUCGGAUCGCCGUUAUAUCCCCGGAGAGUGGAGACUUGAUCUCCGACCUGCAACCUAAGUCAGGAUGUAAACAUUACGAGUAAAAAUGAUGUUGUAUUGAUGAGAUGGUGAAAUUAGACUAGGUGCAAACAGAGUCUAUUAAUAUUUAAUCUGGCAUUAAAAUAUUGAAAGUAAGGACUCACUUUAGUAAGCUUUUUCUGCAAAAGUAUCUAAGUUGAUUCUUGCUAAAAGCCUCUCCUUGAUUCCUAAAUCCAGCAUAUCCUUGAGAGUCUUUUUCCUUAGUCGGGUAAGACUUGCGAAAGUACACUUCGUACUCAGGGCUUUGUCCCAUGUUGUUUUAGGUGAAGAGCCUGUGGAGCUUUGCCACUUUUGUGCAAAGGUGGUUCCCAAGCAG